ACUACGCAUGUGUGCAGUGCAGAAUAGAUGAGAGGAUCAAGCUGAGUUGGAGUUGAUGAAGCACAAAAUGGGGGGGGGCUCUAGUCCCGUCAGCCCCCCUCUGCCUACGCCACCGCUGGUUUAACACAAAAAUCAAUGAUACCGGUGCUGUUUUAACAUUGAUAUCAAGUAACACGUGGACCACUGCACCUCGAGGACAUUGAAGAUUCUCUUUCACUAACUACUAGACAAUCAACACCCUGUAUUAUCUGUCCCUGGCACAAGUGGUGCUUUGAUCUGAGUACUGGGAGACAGUUAGACCCACUUGGGAGAGAGCAGCACAUACAAUCUUAUCCUGUUCGAGUAGAUUCAGAUACUGGGACUAUUUCUAUUGGUUUUGCAUCGUUCGAUUCAUCUUGUUUUACUGACUAUGACUUCUAGAUCCUAUAUAGUAUUCUGUUAUCAUGUUUAUUCUUCAGGUAAUUAUUUUCA